ensembl:miRNA
UGAGACAAAUGUCAAAAAUUUAAACUUCUUUGUCGCGAAGGCCCGCGGCGGGUAUUGACGCGAUGUGAUCUCUGCCCAGUGCUCAGAAUGUCAAAUGAAGAAA